GCUUGCUUUCGCUGACGACCGGCGCACGGGUGCGUAACGCGUAUGCAACCUACCUCAUACUGGAGGAUAGCCCCUGGAAACGGGGAUUAAUACUCCAUAGUAUCACGAAUUCGCAUGUUUUUGUGAUUAAAGUUUUUCGGUAUGAGAUGGGCAUGCGUCCCAUUAGCUUGUUGGUGAGGUAACGGCUCACCAAGGCAACGAUGGGUAGGGGGCCUGAGAGGGUGGUCCCCCACACUGGUACUGAGACACGGACCAGACUCCUACGGGAGGCAGCAGUGAGGAAUAUUGGUCAAUGGAGGCAACUCUGAACCAGCCAUGCCGCGUGAAGGAUGACGGCCCUAUGGGUUGUAAACUUCUUUUAUAGAGGAAGAAACUUGUCUACGUGUAGACAACUGACGGUACUCUACGAAUAAGGAUCGGCUAACUCCGUGCCAGCAGCCGCGGUAAUACGGAGGAUCCAAGCGUUAUCCGGAUUCAUUGGGUUUAAAGGGUCCGUAGGCGGGUCUUUAAGUCAGUGGUGAAAGCCGACAGCUCAACUGUCGAACUGCCAUUGAUACUGGAGACCUUGAGUACAAAUGAAGUAGGCGGAAUGAGUCAUGUAGCGGUGAAAUGCAUAGAUAUGACUCAGAACACCGAUUGCGAAGGCAGCUUACUAACAUGUAACUGACGCUGAGGGACGAAAGCGUGGGGAGCGAACAGGAUUAGAUACCCUGGUAGUCCACGCCGUAAACGAUCAUCACUCGCUGUUGGCGAUAUACUGUCAGCGGCCAAGCGAAAGUA
rnacentral:rRNA from 1 species